rnacentral:rRNA from 1 species
AGGAUGAACGCUGGCGGCGUGCCUAAUACAUGCAAGUCGAGCGAACAGAUAAGGAGCUUGCUCCUUUGAAGUUAGCGGCGGACGGGUGAGUAACACGUGGGUAACCUACCUAUAAGACUGGGAUAACUUCGGGAAACCGGAGCUAAUACCGGAUAACAUUUAGAACCGCAUGGUUCUAAAGUGAAAGAUGGUUUUGCUAUCACUUAUAGAUGGACCCGCGCCGUAUUAGCUAGUUGGUAAGGUAACGGCUUACCAAGGCGACGAUACGUAGCCGACCUGAGAGGGUGAUCGGCCACACUGGAACUGAGACACGGUCCAGACUCCUACGGGAGGCAGCAGUAGGGAAUCUUCCGCAAUGGGCGAAAGCCUGACGGAGCAACGCCGCGUGAGUGAUGAAGGGUUUCGGCUCGUAAAACUCUGUUAUUAGGGAAGAACAAAUGUGUAAGUAACUGUGCGCAUCUUGACGGUACCUAAUCAGAAAGCCACGGCUAACUACGUGCCAGCAGCCGCGGUAAUACGUAGGUGGCA